AACGAACGCUGGCGGCAGGCUUAACACAUGCAAGUCGAGCGAGACCUCCGGGCCUAGCGGCGGACGGGUGAGUAACGCGUGGGAACGUGCCCUUUUCUACGGAAUAGCCUCGGGAAACUGAGCGUAAUACCGUAUACGCCCUUUGGGGAAAAGAUUUAUCGGAGAAGGAUCGGCCCGCGUUGGAUUAGGUAGUUGGUGGGGUAAUGGCCUACCAAGCCUACGAUCCAUAGCUGGUUUGAGAGGAUGAUCAGCCACACGGGGACUGGGACAAGGCCCAGACUCCGACAGGAGGGAGGAGUAGGGAAUCAUAGACAGUGGGGGCAACCCUGAUCUAGCCAUGCCGCAUGAGUGAUGAAGGCCUGAGGGUUGUAAAGCUCUGUCAGCUAGGGAGAUAAUGACGGUACCAGCAGAAGAAGCCCCGGCUAACUCCG
rnacentral:rRNA from 1 species